GCGGUGUGUACAAAGGGCAGGGACGUAAUCAACGCGAGCUGAUGACUCGCGCUUACUAGGCAUUCCUCGUUGAAGACCAAUAAUUGCAAUGAUCUAUCCCCAUCACGACGCGUUUUCAAAGAUUACCCGGACCUCUCGGUCAAGGAUAGGCUCGUUGAACGCGUCAGUGUAGCGCGCGUGCGGCCCAGAACAUCUAAGGGCAUCACAGA
rnacentral:misc_RNA from 1 species